CCGAACUGUCGACACGAGUUGUUGCUGGUCCUCGAAAGGGGAUACGUGCACGCUCUGUUUACACAUCCACUCACACCUGUGCACCCUUGUAGCUCUAUGGCCUGGGGACUCUGUCCUCUCGCUGUGGUCCUACGUCUUUACACACACACACACCGUAACAAAGUAUCAUGGAAUGUACAUCGCGUUUAACGCAAUACAAUA
rnacentral:misc_RNA from 1 species